rnacentral:lncRNA from 1 species
AUUAAUUCAGUCAAAAAAGUAAAUGUACUUUAAAAAAACAACUUUUAAUCGACUAAAAGGUUGCUAAUAUACAUACAUAUAUAUUUUACACACAUUAAAACCUCUGCCAUAAAAUUUCAUUUGCAUUCAGCUAGUUAGAACAUGACAUCCUUGAGAAGCUUGUACCUGCGGGUGGCAGUCCUAGGUGAAGGCACUCCGGCGGUCGGAUUCUUUCCCUUCUGAUCAGAACUUUCUUCAUGUUGCUUUAUCCUGCCACCGGAAUACUGCUCCGACCGCUUGUUGAUAACAAGUCCAUCAUUCCUAGCCAUGGCUUUUUUGGAAGAACCACCAUGUCUUGAACUUCUUUCCUCACUUUGACACCAAUCACAUACUUCAAUCGACUCCGAUGAUUCGCUAUAGUAAUUGCUGCAAUACCUAUAUAUAGGAAUUCA